rnacentral:rRNA from 1 species
AUACGUAAGGGGCGAGCGUUAAUCGGAAUUACUGGGCGUAAAGCGUGCGUAGGUGGUUUGUUAAGUUAGAUGUGAAAGCCCCGGGCUCAACCUGGGAACUGCAUUUGAAACUGGCAUACUAGAGUAUAGGAGAGGAAAGUGGAAUUUCAGGUGUAGCGGUGAAAUGCGUAGAUAUCUGAAGGAACAUCAAUGGCGAAGGCAGCUUUCUGGACUAAUACUGACACUGAGGUACGAAAGCGUGGGUAGCAAACAGGAUUAGAAACCCGAGUAGUCC